GUAAAUAUAGUUUAAAACAAAACAUCAGAUUGUGAAUCUGGUAACAGAGAUUAAAACACUCUUAUUUACC
rnacentral:tRNA from 1 species